rnacentral:rRNA from 1 species
GAUGAACGCUGGCGGCGUGCUUAACACAUGCAAGUCGAACGGUGAAGCAGGAGCUUGCUCUUGUGGAUCAGUGGCGAACGGGUGAGUAACACGUGAGCAACCUGCCCCUGACUCUGGGAUAAGCGCUGGAAACGGCGUCUAAUACUGGAUAUGUGAUGUGACCGCAUGGUCUGCAUCUGGAUAGAAUUUCGGUUGGGGAUGGGCUCGCGGCCUAUCAGCUUGUUGGUGAGGUAAUGGCUCACCAAGGCGUCGACGGGUAGCCGGCCUGAGAGGGUGACCGGCCACACUGGGACUGAGACACGGCCCAGACUCCUACGGGAGGCAGCAGUGGGGAAUAUUGCACAAUGGGCGGAAGCCUGAUGCAGCAACGCCGCGUGAGGGAUGACGGCCUUCGGGUUGUAGACCUCUUUUAGCAGGGAAGAAGCGAAAGUGACGGUACCUGCAGAAAAAGCACCGGCUGACUACGUGCCAGCCGCCGCCGUAA